GAUGAAGAACGCAGCGAAAUGCGAUAACUAAUGUGAAUUGCAGAAUUCAGUGAAUCAUCGAGUCUUUGAACGCACAUUGCGCCCCCUGGUAUUCCGGGGGGCAUGCCUGUCCGAGCGUCAUUGCUGCCCUCAAGCACGGCUUGUGUGUUGGGCUCCGUCCCCCCGGGGACGGGCCCGAAAGGCAGCGGCGGCACCGAGUCCGGUCCUCGAGCGUAUGGGGCUUUGUCACCCGCUCUGUAGGCCCGGCCGGCGCCAGCCGACAACCCAUCAUCCUUUUCAGGUUGACCUCGGAUCAGGUAGGGAUACCCGCUGAACUUAAGCAUUCCAAUAAGCGGAGGA
rnacentral:misc_RNA from 1 species